CCCCGCCCCGGGGAACUCCGGUCUGAAGCGCUACUGCCAGCCGGGGCUCCCCACUGCCGGGGCAGCCGAGUAUGGCGCCCACUGCGUCGAGGACAGAAGGCGCGGCCGUACUCGGGGCAGAAGCUUGAUGCCCGGGGAGCGCCGCCAGCUCGGUGGUACGGAGCCGCACAACAAAGCAAGAGGGCUUCGGCUGCCACGAACAGGGAGCUGGAGCUGCCCCGCUGCUCCGGGCACUGGGAGAUGCUGGGAAGAGCAGCAAGCUCCUGGGGCUCUCCCACUGUACGAGGGCAGGAUUCCAGAGGGGGGGGCCAGAGCUCUCCUCAAACACCUGAACCUGGCUGGGAGCAAAGGACGGUCACAAACUGUGCUGACAGACUGUAGCCAGAAGCAAAUUAUUCACGAAGAGCAUUAUAUUGGCUUUUAACACUUCUGAAAAUGCUUCACAAUUUAAGAAUUCUUUUUCUUCUCUGCUAGCAGAACACUUUCUGCAAAGGAGACCUUUAAAAAAUAUUUGAAACACAGCAUCCUCUGGGUUUAAGAAGCUGUACUCCCUCCUUCACCUGCAGCAGGGUUUGGAUCCUUUGGAUCCUGCAGCUGGGGUCCCCCUACCCUGCCAGAACUCUCCUGAAUUGAAAGGACUGGCAGCAGUUUCCCCUGCCAAAAGGAGGUGGAUAUCUGUUAUUUUUAGCUAAGUGCCAGCAGCACCCAAAAGGAGAAAUCAGGAGAAUUCCUGCUCGGCACAGAUUAAAAAGAGCAAUUUUUGUCUUUUAAUUACUGGUGGUACUUCCUCUGCAAUACCCACCAGAAGCAUGAACUGAAAAGUGUAUACAGACAUACUUCUCUACUAUCCUUCUUCACAUGCUAAUCUCCCAACAAGACUCAAACUUGCCCUUGGCCUCUCUGUAGUGAGGCAUCAACAAGCUGAUCCAAACAAAAAGCAAAAAACCCUUCACACAUCUUUGCCUUUGGUUUUUCAACCACUCUUGAUACACUGUUAGCACAGGAAACUGGAGUUCUGUGGUGUAACCCAGGAACUCGCAGUAGCCCUGCUGCCUCCAAGCCAGGCCUGUCCCUUAGCUCAACUACUCCAUUUUUUUCUCUUGAGCAUUCCCUUGUAUAGGCCUGAGUCUGUUUAUGCAUUCCUAUGCCAACAGCUUUGUUUUGCUGUGGUUUUGCACUUUCCAUGUCAUCAACUCCCCAUGGACAAGCAAGAACUUUCUCCUAGGCCUUGGACCAGCACAUAAGACUUAGGCUACGUAGUCUUCACAGUAGCUGGUGUACAACAGCAGACCCAUUACCAUAUAGGAUGUUUCCCAUACACAUACACAUUCCCUUAUGCAUUUAUUUUCAUAACAUCCUUACCUAAUCAUCUCCCUCCCAGAGGGUACAUCGAUUUAACUGUGCUGAAUAAGCAAGUCUUGUGGUCAGCAACACUUAGUACUGCACAUGUGUCCCUUCAAGGAGCUUUUCCCUUUCUUUUUUGGCUGGGUUACCAGCUUAAACCAGCUUCAUCAUUUGAAGAUCCUCAUCUCCCCUCCCUUUUAUCCAAAUGUGGAAAAAAUUGGUAAUUGUAGUACUUCUGAAAAGUUCUCUCUUCAAUUAAGAGGAACAAAAAGACCUCACAUUAAUAGCUUAAUGGUCUACCUACUGGAAUUGAAAAAUUUCUUCUGUCUCCAACAUGCACUUUGUCUGGAAAACAGCAUCAGCUCAAUCCUCUACUUGAAGUUAUUAAAUCAUAAUUGCCAAUAUUUCAAAUAGACUGCUUAAUCUACUCUCAACUCCUGCAUCAGUUCUUUCAUCAAAAGCACCCCUUUUUGAGCAUGAAGAUGAAUUUCUCACUCUCAACACAAACUACAAAGCAGGUUACUUAAAGCUAAAAGAACAACAGUUAAUAUGAAGUGAGUGAAAAAGCUGAAAAAUUACUUGUAAAUGUUUUAUGUUUGUUUUAUGUUAAGUAACUAAGAUCUGUGCACAAACUGAAAGCAAGCUGUCUCACGACCAAGUUCUGAAAAGCACAGAAGAAACGGACACAAGACAUGGAACAUUCAGCAGCACACCUGGAAUGAAGGAAACACAGAACUUAAAAGAAAAAAGUAACCAUACAAAGCUGUACUAUACAACAGCCAUUACCAUUCUUUUGUAUGGCCUGGAAAUCAGACAGUUUAAACCUGCUACAGCUUGAGACCUACCAGUUCUUCAGAUGCUGUCUUCCUGCCCUUGCACAAGACAAUAGAGUAAGAUCACCAAUACAAAUAUCUUAGGCAUCUACCAAAUAUCCAUCACUAAAGAAACACUCCUGAGAAUUCAACUAUAUUAAUCUGGACAUUGUAGACAACAGAGAAUUCAAAGCAACCUUUUACAAUUCAUUGAAAUAGGUGAUGGGAUAAAAACAGGACCAUUUACAAGUAGGUAUUCAUAGGAAAUUAUAUACACUGUCAGCCUGAAAACAGGCAAGACAACUCCUAAAAGUCUUCAACUGAGAAAAAGAAGGCAAUGACAGUACCAAAUGUCAGGAAGAAAACAAGAACAGUGCUGCACACAAAACAGGGGAAGAGAGCCACAGCAACUGCAGGCUGCUGAGCUACACCUCAAGACAUCUGCAACCAAAGUGCUGCAAAACUGUUUCUCAGUUAUUAAGGCACUUAAGCUUAGGACAUUUAAGCUAGAACAGGUAUCAGUUCAAUAGCACACUACAUUAUCAUUUUGGACCUUCUGUGGGACUGUAAGAAGGAAAACAUUUGGCAUAAAAUACGUUAUUUAACUUUAAUGAGACUUUUUUUUAAUAUCUCUAUACACAUGGCCCAACUCUUGAGACUCAUCUCACUGUGAGUGAUAGAAAGAUCGCAUAUUCACAAAUGAUUCCUUAAACUACUUUAAGGCAGAACAAUCCUGUUACAAAGUUAAAAGAGGAUUAUACUAUAUGGAUGACAGCGUAUAGGCAAAAGUCAAUGUAAACAUGUAUACACGUGCACCAUUUAUGGGCCUGUGCAUUGCAGCAGAAGCCUAACAAGAAGAAAGCACCAAGCUGUCUCAAAGGUGUCUGCACAGCAGUUCAAACUGGUAUUAGCUCUAUAAGGAGUGGCAGCAGCACACUGUCAGGGCUGCAGGCAAGGGAAUGGGAGAGUGACUUUUCUUUAAACAGAGCAGUAACAUCACUACUGCUCUCCAGAAGAAAAGGGGUCUGACUGACAAAAUAAAUGAAGGUAUUAUCCAAAGACUGACACCUACACUGGUGUACGCUGUACACUUUCAAAGAACAGGUGCCUGAUGAUACACAGGCCAGAGCACAUUACACAAAUGAGGUGCAUUGCUUUUGUCAGUGACAGUAACUUUUAAUUGUCUUUACAAUAAAAGAUAAAUUAUUAAAAAGUAAUUUUGCUGGGUAAAAUAUUUAGUAUAUUGAAAAUAUAAAUGCAUCUUCAGCUCAAACAAGAUUACAAGCAUACCAAAUAAUUUACAAAAUUGAGUAUUUAUCCUGAUCGAAGGGAUGUAAAAGCCAACAGUUCCAGAACCAUGCUCCUGGCACCGAAUGUUUUGUAAGUAAAGAACUUAAUUAUUUUGUGCACUAAUCCUACUUCUUCCCCUAUGCAUGUGGGACAGAAAAGGUCAGUUACUUUUUUGGUAAAGGCCUGGAGGGAGGGGGAAGACUAAGAAUAAUGGCAGUUUCUCUUGCAAGCCCCUUUUUCCACUUAUGUUGGAAGGUGUACUAUGUCAGAAAGCCAUUUUAACUUCACUUUCCCACUAUGGCCAAGAUUAAACAUAAACAGCUUUAUAUUGUGUUUAAAAA